AUUGAACGCUGGCGGCAUGCCUUACACAUGCAAGUCGAACGGUAACGCGGGGCAACCUGGCGACGAGUGGCGAACGGGUGAGUAAUGCAUCGGAACGUGCCCAGUAGUGGGGGAUAGCCCGGCGAAAGCCGGAUUAAUACCGCAUACGACCUACGGGUGAAAGCGGGGGACCGCAAGGCCUCGCGCUAUUGGAACGGCCGAUGUCAGAUUAGGUUGUUGGUGGGGUAAAGGCCUACCAAGCCGACGAUCUGUAGCUGGUCUGAGAGGACGACCAGCCACACUGGGACUGAGACACGGCCCAGACUCCUACGGGAGGCAGCAGUGGGGAAUUUUGGACAAUGAGGGCAACCCUGAUCCAGCCAUGCCGCGUGCGGGAAGAAGGCCUUCGGGUUGUAAACCGCUUUUGUCGGGGAAGAAAUCUUCCGGGCCAAUACCCCGGGAGGAUGACGGUACCCGAAGAAUAAGCACCGGCUAACUACGUG
rnacentral:rRNA from 1 species